rnacentral:pre_miRNA from 1 species
UGGGGAUUUUGUUUGUCUAUAUGUACUGAUAACAUCAUACUGGCCUGCAAAAUCCCAACU